GUCCACGCCGUAAACGAUGAAUACUAGGUGUCGGGGAGCACAGCUCUUCGGUGCCGCCGCAAACGCAUUAAGUAUUCCACCUGGGGAGUACGUUCGCAAGAAUGAAACUCAAAGGAAUUGACGGGGGACCCGCACAAGCGGUGGAGCAUGUGGUUUAAUUCGAAGCAACGCGAAGAACCUUACCAAGUCUUGACAUCUGCCUGACCGGUGAGCAACGUCACCUUUCCUUCGGGACAGGCAAGACAGGUGGUGCAUGGUUGUCGU
rnacentral:rRNA from 1 species